AUGGUUCACCAAUUAUUGCAUGCUAUGAUAUGGCAGUGUGGUUAGCUGGUUGAUGAUGAUAAAUUUCAACAGCUAUCCGAGCUGCCCAUAUUAUGGUGUGAAUUAUCGUCGGUCCUUCU
rnacentral:pre_miRNA from 14 species